UGUUCUUCCCUAGCACUGCGAUUCUUCUGGACUUUUAGGGUGGGUUGUUGGAGCUGGGGCUCCUGCAGGAGGCAGAAACACUGGGGAACAAGGAUUCCAUUCCCAGAGGAGAAGACACUCUCAAUCUCAACUCUUGGUCUGUGGUGACUGGGCCCAGCAAUGAUCAGGUGGCAGAUGAACGCAGUAGCUUCGACCUUCACUUGUCCACUACCUUUAUAUGCGUGGGUCAGCCUUUCAGUGUCAACUACAGUACUUGGUUGAUCAAGAGAUUUCUUGGUUAUGACAUUGCUCAGGAGAAGCUACCCAGCAAUGGAGAGAGGGUAGCUGCAGUCUUGAGACCUGAAGACAGCUUAUACAAAGAGAUAUUUGCCCUACCCACAGCCACCUACCUACAGCGGGACACAGUGGAUCAGGAGCUGUGACAGAGAGAAGCAAGAAGCUGGAAUCCAGGAGUGGCCUGAGAACAGGGGCAAUAUUGGAUGGGAUUCUGUGUGAUACCCUCAGAAAAAAAGCUGACCUCUCCUUAGGAGUCCCCUGGGCUAGCUUGGGCAUCCCCUGGCCGGGGCCUCAGUAUCCGAGCCGCGUGAGGGGGCGGUGCUGGAAGACACCCUCUCCCGGGACAGCUUGUGUCUCCCCAACCACCACUCUGAGCAUCUACUGCCCCAGGGAACCUCCAUCUUCACUGUGUGUGCUGACC
rnacentral:sRNA from 1 species